ACUUAAAUAGCUCAAUUUAGAGUUUAAUAUUGAAGAUAUUAAGGUAAAUUUUAAUUUUUUAAGUA
rnacentral:tRNA from 1 species